rnacentral:rRNA from 1 species
UACAGAGGUCUCGAGCGUUGUUCGGAUUCAUUGGGCGUAAAGGGCGCGUAGGCGGCGGGGUAAGUCUGGUGUGAAAUCUCGGAGCUCAACUCCGAAAUUGCACUGGAUACUGCUCUGCUAGAGGGCUGGAGAGGAGAUCGGAAUUCACGGUGUAGCAGUGAAAAUGCGUAGAUAUCGUGAGGAAGACCAGUGGCGAAGGCGGAUCUCUGGACAGCUCCUGACGCUGAGGCGCGAAGGCUAGGGGAGCAAACGGG